GCGUAAUCCUUUGCCUCUUAAUUGGAGGAUAGUAUGAAUGGAUAAACGAGAGUGUCACUGUCUCAUUAAGACAAAUAAAAAUUAUCACUCGGGUGAAGAGACCCAGAAUACCAUGAAAAGACAAAAAGACCCUGUAGAGCUUAAUCUUACCCACAUCUAUUAAUUUAUAUUACCACAUAUAUAAAAUUUUUACAUGUUGUAAGAUUUGGUUGGGGCAACCGAGGACUAAUUAAAUCAUCCUCCUAUAACCUAAGACUAAUACGUCAUAAAAUAGAUCCAACUCAAACCUGAUCAAAAGCACAAGCUACCUCAGGGAUAACAGGCUAAUCCCUCUUAAGAGUUCACAUCAACAGGAGUGGGC
rnacentral:rRNA from 1 species